AUGACUGGGACAGGUCCAGAUCUUUCCUAUAAAUAUAUUAAGAUUCGGAUCAGUCCUGAGCAGCAGUUAGGCCAACGCCACCCCUCGCUGCCCUGGCGCCGUCUCUCACCGACCUCAGCAGGUACGUGUCAGGAUGGAAAUGAGGCUCCAUCCCUAGCCCUCCCCAGAGGACACAGAGCAGCCUCCCUUUCAGAAAUGGGCUUCCAGGGCUGGAGAAACGAUCCAUCACACUCCCCUGAUAAUGUGGCCCUGAGGAGUAGUCACUCAGCAACCCCUCUGGUUGAUGAAGAUGACAGAGGAGAUGAAAUCCCACCCUUUGCACCAAGAGACAGGUGUCGGGCCACAUCUGUCAGCUGACCCCUGAAGCGGAGAGUGGGGCUCAGCAGAAGCUAAGGUGUUGCCGAUGGGACAUGUGAUCUAGGGGGAAGGAAGGUAUGUAUGGAACAGCUUUGAGAAAUUGUACUUGAUGUUCCAUCUCCUUGAAUCCUAAAGCCAUUCAAGUUCCCCGUAACUAUGACCAAUAUUCAUACCAGGGUCCCGAGUGGAGGGGAGUUUAGGUCAACCAGGGAAACGCUUUCUGUCGUCUCCAGUCAGCAGCUCACUCUGGAAUUACUGAAGUUUUUCCAUUUUGUCUUGAUGCCUCCGGGGCUCUGGAUGCUGUACUCUCCCUAUAGAGGCCAUUUCAUGCUCCCAGGUGUUGUUGAACCUUUAAAAAAUUUUUGAUCUGUAAAGUUUUUCAGUCACAAUACUAUUGAAAUGGAAAAGGAAAUUCUAAAUUUAAAAACACAAAGAAGUGUGUAGACUUCAGGGAGAACACGUGCAAGCGACACCACAGAUAUAGGGUUAGCAUCCCCGAUUUGUGGAACACCCUUACUGUGAAACAAAGAGAUUGGCAAGAGCUUUGAACGAAAGAUUUACAUACAAAUAUACAGGAACAAUCAACACGUCAGUUACAAUAUGCCAAAAUCACAAGAACUAAUAUCAUGAGAUCAUUUUCUAAUCCUGAAAAAUAAUACUAAGAGGAAAAGUCAAGAUGUAGAAUGUUUUAUGUAAAAUCUCUUGGGAGAGACGCUGUGUGUGUGCAGGUGUCUGUGUUCGUGCACCCCUCCGCCACAGGGACCCAUCUGGAGAGGAGGCCCCACUCUAUGACAACAGGCCCCUUAGGGUCAGGGGUGGGAGUCGGGGCCGUGAGAGAUGCAGGACAACUUCAAUUUAUAAAUACAGUUUCACCUAUUGUGUGAAAUACUGUACUCAGGACAAAUGGUACCUUGGUAACACUGAAAACAGAAAACCCUCGUGAACAGAUUGACAAGAGUGCACAUAUCUUCACUACUUUGUAAAACUGUUCAUUGUAUUC
rnacentral:lncRNA from 1 species